rnacentral:rRNA from 1 species
CACGUAGGGUGCAAGCGUUAAUCGGAAUUACUGGGCGUAAAGCGCACGUAGGCGGUUUGUUAAGUCGGAUGUGAAAUCCCUCGGCUCAACUGAGGAAGUGCAUCCGAAACUGGCAGGCUUGAGUACUAAAGAGGGUCGCGGAAUUCCCGGUGUAGAGGUGAAAUUCGUAGAUAUCGGGAGGAACACCGGUGGCGAAGGCGGCGACCUGGGUAGAUACUGACGCUGAGGUGCGAAAGCGUGGGGAGCAAACAGG